GCCCGCCAUCCGCCGUUACCUCCCUUCUGCCUAGAGCUGGGAAUACUCCAAUCCCAGUGUACGGGCGCGGGGCACUGCCCGAGGAGCUCUAUGACCUGAGCGCCGCAGCCGCAGCCCGAAGUGGGCCGCCUGAACGGCGCUGCGCGGCGCAGGGGUUUUGUUUGCGGUUUUCAGUGUAAAAUCACGGCCCGACGACAAACGCAACCGCGUUUCUCACUUCACGAGGUCACAAGCGGUGCUAAAGCGUGCUUAAGGGGAUUUGGACUGUCCCUGGCAGGAAGCUGGCCUUCCUCCUUGGAUCCAAAUAUCUACGCCCACUCCUUGCCAGUGAUCAGCAUGGUUUGACGAGACGCAUGCUCGUUAUUGGAAAAACCCGAACAACCCAGCCCCAAGAAAAACAACACACAAGCAAAAAAGUAUUUUGUGUGUCCAAAUGUUCUCAGAGUGGCAAAGGAAAGUAUCAGCUAAAUGAGAGUGUGCUGUAAACAACACAACAUGGCUCUGGAAAGUGGAAGCAGCUUACCUGCCUUUUUCCCCGUGAAAGAACACCUGCGCUGUAAGGCUCUGUCACUCUGUAAGACUAUUGAGGGGACAUUAGUGACUGACAUCUGGCACCAGACCUUUGAACACUCUGCAAAAGGGUGAAAGAGAUCAGCAGGAAAACAGUUCCGUCAUCAGUAAAGGAGAUCUUGAAGGAAGCUACUCACCCUGUGGGUAUAUGAGAGGGAGAUAGUCACAGGUGCCAAAUGAAUUCAGGCUUGAAGAAUUGUGUUGGCCAGGACCCAGAUGUGAGCCACAGUCAGUAAAAUGGAGACCUUAAUUCAUGGUUACUCUUCCAGGGUGAGCAAUUCUGGCUGCCUUGGUGCUCAGUGAUGUGUGGGACAGCUGAUAUACACACCACCCUGCAGCUGAGUUGGUUAGGUUUCCUGGAGCCUACCAAUGAACCUUCAGUGCACCAAGCAUAACGUGAUGUUGGCUGUCACGCUCGACAAUUCCCUGUCUGAGGAGUUGCAGAGGCCAGAUAAGGCAUAUACACUGGCUCAGUUCUCAAGCACUGUAUAGGAGAUUACCACAAAAUCACAGUGAUGGAUGUCAGAGAAAAAAAUUUUCCCUCUGGAGUUAAGAAAGAUGCAUUUAGGAAUUGCUUGGACAAGAAAACAGCUUGAAAGUUUACAACAAGGGAAUACUUAUACUAUGUUCCUUACUGAAGCACUGAACUUUGCCUAAGUCAUCUUAAUGGAGAAUAUUUUGGGAUAGUUAAGAGUGCUGCAAAGAGAAUGGACUCAAGUUUAAACUGACGAGUGUCAAAAUGAAAAUAACUUUUAAAUUAAGGUAAAUUUAAAAAAAAAUACCUAACCUCUUCCCACAAGCAGGUGGUUGUUCAGCCAUCCCUAGGGGAGCAAUGCCCUAUCACCUAUCCCACCAUCCUUCUCUUUCCUCAGUUUUAUAUACUGAGCAUAAUGCCAUAUGGUCUGAAACAUCCCCAUGGUCAUUUGGCUAAACUAUCCUGGCUUCCACUCCUCGUGCACCUCCAGCUUCCUCACCAGUGGGAUGGGAUAAGGAGCAAGAAAAGCACUGACUCUGCAUAAGCCCUGAUCAGCAAUAAUUAAAACAUACUUGUUUUAUCAACACUGUUUCCAGCACAAAACCAAAACAUAGCCCCAUCCCAGCUAUUUUGAAGAAAACUAAUUUUAUCCCAGCCAAAACUAGCACACCUACAUGUUUGGUUGUAUUUUACUUACUAAUCUUCUUGGCUUUUUCAGUUUUCUUUACCUAGAUUUGUUUAGUAGAGUUUCUCAGCUCUCAGCCUUGGAAAUCCCUUUUGAAGGUAUGUUUUCACAAUGGUUUAAAUAACCAGAGUUAGAACUGCUGUGAUACCAACCUCAUCUGCUAGGAGAGCCAAAAACUAGCCACUUAACUGUCUGAACUAGGUCACCAUGCAGCUGCACAUGCAGUGAUCCCUGUGCAGUGUGAUAGUAGCAGUAGUUGUUACUUAGAGUGCUUAAAAAUUGCCAAAACAUUGUUUGGAGAUGUUUCUCCACUUUCAUGUGAGAGAAGGACUCUUCUUUCACAUCAGAACUUAUUCAUGUUGCAUCUUUAACCAAUUUCUUCUUUCCCAGAGGUCACAGUAAAGUAUAGAUGACAUUCUUAUCUUAGCAGCAUUUUAUAGUGUAAGUAAAACUGACUACUGGUAUGUACAGCUUUCAGUCUGCAUCAAGAAAGAAGUACACAUAAUGCACAACAUUUUAAGGACAGAUGGACAACGCUUUUUGUCAUUACAGAAAGCUACCACCUGUGGAAAAAUUAUAUUUAAAUAUAAAAUAAAUAACUCUUUCUUUGUGAAGCUGUAUUGCAAGUUUCUGGCACCUCACCAGGGUGUGAGUGAGAAAAUUUAUUGUGCCUAAGCAGUCACUCCACUCUGAGUUGGAUUUUUCUUAUAGACAAGAUAGCUGUACAAGAUAGCUGCACUGUUAUGCAAUGAACAGAAUCCCUUUCAAUGUCUAUGUUUCAGGUUAUUUAUCUUUCUUACACUGGUAGGGCUUCAUGUUUAUCACAGUAACUUAUGAUUAAGAAAAGACUUAGCACUGUUCUAUUCUUAACAUUUAGAAGUUCUGGAUAAAGAAGCUUUUCCUUUUUAAAGUACUAAAGCCUUCAAUACAGUAUCUUGCAGUGAGGCAAGAUAGAUGCAAGAAGUAGCCUAAGAUUUAAUUAUGCACUACAUUAUAUUCUGGUUUCUUUGCUUUUUGUUCUCUUUCUAAACAACUCCUUUACCACACUUAGUACUUUGAUUCUUUUGCUUCUACCCUUCAGGUAGUUAUAAAACAUGUCCUGAAAAGCUCAAAGACCACAACUUGAGAUAUAAUUUCGUAGCAAAGAUUUUCUUUCUCUUGAGUAGCUGUUAAAUGCAGCAGGUAUAGUCUAGUUUUCUUCUUUUUCAUUCAUUUUGUAUCCCUACUCUUAUUCCAUUUAAUCUUACAUUCUCUCUUCUACUAAGAAGCUGUCAAUAGCAAUUUAUGUAAGUAACACAGUCAUUAUCCUGUGACUUGCCUUCUUUCUUGCCGCCUUUAUCUCUCACACCCCUUUUGUUUUUACCAUCCCCAGAAUCCUCUCCUCACUUGGGCCCAACAAACCAGCCAGCUGCAAAAUGCUAAAGACUAGAGAGAUAAGAUUUAGAGGAAAACAACAGGGACAAAAAAAACCAAGUUAUUUUAUAGAAUUAGUUGAAAGAAAAAAUAAAUUGAUUCUGUGCAUUGAGGUCCAGGGGGGGAAAGCUAGUGAAUUUUUUAUCAGUUUAGUCUGUGGGCCACUUUCAGAUUACUCUUGUCAGAAAUCAGUUUAGUUUAGAUCUGCGACUUGCUUAGGUCUUCACAAAUGGUUGAUCAGAAGUGGUUAUUCCAAAAUAAUUUUAUGUAAGGUGCAAAGUCUUGUUAGAUUUAAAUGUCAAUUAUCUGCCAGUACUUAAAGUGCAGGUAGAUUUGUUAACUGCAGUGCACAGAAACUGGAAUUGUGAAAGAAAAAAGAAAGAGUGAGUAGUUUAGAUACAUUGGUUAAGUUUGACCAACGAACCAUACAGGUUUUUUUCAUUAUUUAAUUAUAAAUUUCUUACAUUAUUUAUGUGAUUCCUAAAAAAAAUGUCAGUACAUAAUUUAAAUUAUUUUUAAGUUAAAAAUAACACCUGUGGCUGGUACAAAUGUAUGCAUAAAAUUUCUUAACUAUAUGAAUUUAAUUAAAUUGAACAACAAACUGGUCGCUGGACAAGCAUGACUAAGGCUUCACUUAAAACGGCACAUUGAAAUCAACUAAAGUUUUUACAGAUUGCUACCUUGUCUGAACAUUGUAUCUGUACACAACUGGACCUCUACAGAAACACUGUAUCUCUACACUGACUGAAUAUCUUGCUGAAAGCUGAAAUGAGUAAUAUAAACAAGGACAUGAGUAUGGUUAUAAUUGAGUCUUUAAAGUUAAUACGCAUCAGGACAACUGAGAAAAGUUCACACUUUUCUUCAAAAUACUGUUUUGUUUGGUCUAAGUUAACAGAGAUUUGUUGAAAGCAUUAAUUCUCUCCAAAAGCAUCUGCAGGGUGUAGACCUUAGGUGUCAAAUAAGCGUUAUGUCUAUUACUGUUUCCUUCUCAAUGUUUAGCUAACAAAAGUAAAAAAUGAGUGUAAAAUAUAUUUUUCUUUCUCUUCUUAGAUAUUAACCUAAACAAUCAAAAUAUGUCAGGUUAAUGUUGGUAGGUUUAAUAUGCCAUAACUCUCCUUUAGAGAACUGUUAUACCAUUUCUAGUGCAGACUGCCUUUUUCAGGGUUUACAACAGUUAUACUAUCCAGGUCUUGUUCAUCUGGCAUCUUUCUUGUUUGCUUGUGGUGUACUUUCCUUGUUUGCUUGGUGGUGUACCAUAAACUUCUAGAGGUCUCAUUUAUGAUUUGUCUUCCCAAAUUCACAUGGCUGGCCAGCAGGCCUGGUUUGUAGAGCAUUGAUCAGGUACACUUGGCAGGUAGAAUGUCACAGCAAAAAUUAUACUGGGCAGGUCUGAUGGAAUAUGCACCCUUGCUUAAUGAGUUCCCAUCAUAAGGCACUUGUUGUGCUGCAGGCCCUCCUCUGUGACCAUGUGUUAGCAGGAACCUGUUUUUAAUUUGAUAAGCAUUGUUAUAUAGCCUUAUGCAUAAAAUGCCAAUUCUUUGUAAUGUGUCAUUGUAGCGUUAGUUUUUCUAAUUUACUACAAGUUAAGAAGCAUAAAGUAGCAUAACUAUAUGGUACUAUAUAUAACACCGUAUUUACACCUGGAAAUUUUAUUUGCAUGCCUACUUCAGUCAUGAGAAUCCCCUGCUCACAUUCCAAUCAUACAGAGCCUACAUACAAGUGUUUACAAAUCCACAUGUUCAGAGCUUCCUCUCUGCUACAGGAAGGCCACUCUCAGGCAUCAGUUCUAGCAAACCAACAUAUUUUAUACUAGUAUAUUGGUUACAUUUCACCAAAACCUUGAAAAUUAUGCCCUUUGUACUGGAGUAAUGCAAUUCUCUUACUGGACCAACUGAAAAAAUGUAUUACGUUACACUUGGUGCAAGUUCUAUCAGACUGGUUUUUUCCUUCUGAAUUGUGGCAGUAUAAUGGCUAGGUCAUGUUGGAAGUAAUACUAAUGAGUAGUCUUUUGGUACUUCAGUACUUCUAGGUAUAAAUAAGUUUAUACAGAGUAACAGUUUUCAGUGUCUGAGUCUCUCUCUGAGAAGAGCUAUUAGAAUGUGCAGAAUUCAGCUCAAAGCUAAGAUUUGUUACUUAAUCCUAAUGCUGUUAGGAAAAAUAGAUUAAAGAAUUUGAAGAAAUCAUAUGUGGCCAGUUUAUUCUAGUUACUAAAUGGAGGAUAAGCAGGAGCACUGUCUGAAAGAAGAAUCAUGCUUCUGUACUUAACUAUAUAACAUAUAAAAUAUGAAGGGCUGUUUGGAGAAGACCUGUACUAUAUUGCUGUUUACAACAACCAAUUCUUUGAUAGAGAGAGUGAUCGAAAGCAGUGAUUUUGAAGUGGAGAAGAGUUGCAAAAAUGCAGAAUAUAUUUAUUCCUUCAAAGAGUUUGUACUGUCAUUCAGAAUUUAAUCCUCAAUUGUAUCCUUUUAUUUCUUACUUACUGCAAGAGGCAGUAAGUAAGAAAUAAAAGGAUACAAUAGCACUGGAAGAAAAAAUGGCUACAAAGUGUUAACUGCAUGUACUUUACAGCAAGACACUGAACUCAUAACAGUGUCUCUGUAUCUAUUUUCUCAGAUUGAUUUUUAAACUAAUUACAUAAUUCAUUUACUGCUAAUGUAAAUAAAAGAAGGGCAAUGGGACCUCCGAUUUCUGAGGUCUUGUCUAAGACAAAUCAUUAAUGUAUUAAAAUAUAGAUCUCUGUCUCCAGGUCUUACCAACAAGAUUGGAUAAAAAUUCUGUCUGAAAUUAUUGAUACAAAGCCUUAAUUCUUCAAAAAGAUUAUAGAAAUUAAUGAUUCCACUUAGAAGUAGAGCUGAGAACUCAGUUUAGUAGGAAGAAACACCUUAGAGACAGGGAUUUGUUACUUGAGGCAGAAGAGAGCUAAGUCAACCCUAAAACUUAAAGAAAUGUAAGGGAAAUGCCUUUGCUGUCAGACGAGCAUGUAAGACUACACUGUCCAAUCCUACGGGCAAGGAAGUAUAAGAGGAUUUAUAUCACGUGCUAGAAAAUAUGAAGCUGUGUGUGGGAACAGAAGCAAAAAAGAUGAAGUUCUGUGAGUUCUUGGCAGUUGUGAACUGUAAAGUUAGAUGCUGUAAUAGACUUCCUUAGAACAUGUAAUGAGUAAUAAGAAAUGUGAGUUUUAACAUGUUCUUUUUUGUUUCUGCUACAGUCUGUAAUUUUAAGUGAGCGGGUUAUUUUUGUCCUUAUAGCUUGUCUGUCAAUGAAACCAAAUCCUUUUAUCUGACUUUUCCAUUUCUUCUUUGUGACAAAUUGCACUACAUGUGGUGGGUUGACUUUGGCUGCCUGCUAGACACCCACAGAGCUGCUUUCUCAUUCCUGAACAUCAGCAGGAUGGGGAGAAAUAUAGACUAAAUUCAUGGGUCAAGGCAAAUACAGAGAGAAAACCUACUAAGUUACAUCACAGGUGAAACAGACUGGACAUGGGAGAAACAAUUUAAUUAUUGCCAAUUAAAAUAGAGCUGGAUGGUGGGAAACAAAUACAAAAUAUCUAUACUGCCUUCCCUUCAUCCUCCUUCUUUUUCUCAGGCUCAAUUUCAGUCAUUCAAUCCUGAUUCUUCUCCCUGAGUGGAGCCAGGACACAGGAAAUGGCUGCUGGGAUCAACCCAUAGCAGUUCCUCUCUGCCCCUUUUUCCUUAUCACACUCUUCCAGUACUCCCGGGUGGGUCCUUUCUGUGGGAUACAGUCCUUCAGAAACUGCUUCAACAUAGAUUGUACAUGGCUCCCAGUUCUAUCAAGAUAAAUUUAGCCCAGCAUGGGCUGUAGGGAAAUGGCUUGACAAGUGCCUGGAGCACCUUGUCCCAUCAUUCUCUGGUCUUGGUUUCACAUAUUUCUCAUGCCUCUCUCUCAACUGCUGUGCUGCCUUUUUUACCAUUUCUUAAAUAAGUUUUCUGAGAUGUGCUACCACUUUGACUGCAGAGCUCAGCUCUGCCUUGUGUCCAUUGGAGCUGGCUGCUCCUCAGAGAGGCUGUCCUUACAGUCCACUGCAAUGAUCAUAAUCUUGCAUUGUAGACCCAAUGCAGUAAGAUACCAAGUCACUUUCACCAUAAUGAGAUUUCCAGAAUCUCCAAAUGAUUUUGUGUUUUACCUCCACUUGAGCUGCUUAGUUGCCUUGAGAGCUGGUACUCCAUAAUUCUGAGAGUAAGAAGUUUUUUCUGGUGGCUGACAUUAGCUGGGUAUGCAUCCGAGCAUUCCUGAGCCUCAUAGGAAGUGUGCGGUAUUUGUGCUGGAACUGGAUAAUUCUUCCAAGUACAGGUUGGGAGACAGAAUUCAAAACUAGUCUUUGUCCCAUGGAGGGCCAUGAAUUAUGCUUUCACAAAGACGUGAGUUAUGCAGAAGAGAUUUAACAAUUUUCUCUUUCUUUUCAUCACUCUGACAAAGCAAUUUGCUGAGAUGCUUCUCUCUUUCCUGAGGAAGUCCUUACAAAUUGAUAGUUGUGUGGCAAGACUAAGGGAUAUGAUGACUGGAAGUAAGAACACUGUAUUGCAUUGCAGGAAGUUGUGUUGUUGUAUGCUUGCAUUUAUAUAUAUAAAAUGCAAAAGGUCUUGUAGCAGCAGAAGACAGGAGUUAUGGAGCUGACUGCAAAUACAAGUUGUGCCUCUCCUACUGUAAGGCUGAACACAUGCUUGCUUUUAACAUGAUAUUCAAGAUAACGUAAGUGAACUUAUGUGUUGGGAUACUGACAUAUUUAGAUCCUAGACUUUUCAAAUUACACAUGUGGAAUAACAGGACCUCUUGUUAAAUUUUCAAUGGUAUGGCCUCUUAGGUUGAGAAAGUACAAGCACUGCUGUAAUUCAGAGACAUUUCAUCAACUUAGUAAAUUAUUAUGAAGCAGGAAAAUGCAAUAAUAUUGUUGGUUAAAGAAAAGCAUCACAGAAAAUUAAUACUUGGCAGGACUGUAUUUGGCCAUUCUGUGUUUCUAAAUUGAGAACAUUCAGUGAUAUGGAUACCAAACAUACUUGGUAAAGCAAAGUAUCAUAUAAUUUGAAUGUGGGACUGCGAAGUGACUGCUGGAACCUGGGCUAGCUCUUAGAACUCCGGCGCCAUGCCAGGAGUGGGGAACUGCCUUGGUAUGGGGAUUUACCAGAGGCAGAACUUUUAGAGCCACUUGCUCUAACAUGCCAGACACAAACCACAACAGGGACCAGGCAGAAGACAAAGGAGGAGGCUCUCUGUCUUGAGGUUCCACAAGGAACAGUUUAUUCCAGGUGAAGGGAGCAGGACAAAAAGCCCCUAGCUGUAUUGUGCAAGGGGUUUUGUACGCACACAAGUCAGGGGGUGGACACAAACAGUUUACCAAUAGGGAAUCCUCAGGGGAGGAGUGAGGAGAUUACAUAAAGUAUCCUGGACCAUUUGGGGUAGGAGUGGGGAGGAGGAUGGGUCACAUGGGCCAAUGAGGCUUUGAGGAGUAGGGGAAUUCCAAAGGGGUGUUGCAAACAGGGACUGGCCCCAGGUUUAAGUGGCAGAGAAAGUUCAGGAAUCAAGGGCUGUGUUGCUUUGACAGGCAGGGAAAGAGCUGGAACAAGAGGUGGGGAAUGGCCUGAGGGACAGCUUUGAGGGAGAGUAAAACCCAAGGUAAACCAACUCAGGGAGAACAUGGGGGUACUACAGGAUGAACCACUUAACAAGAAAUCAAUAAAAUAAAUUCGAACUGCAACAGGAUUGUCUUUUAAGAGGCUCUUAGUCAUUUAAAGAAACCAACAACUUAAAAUUCAGAAAGUGUCAACUGACUGUGUCUUAGGUUGGAAAUGGGUGUGUGUAUUCUAUUCCUAUCUGUGGAGCAGUUACCUUCUGUUAAUUGGGAAGUUUUCUUUAUCUCUUCCACAACCAGUCCUCCCUCCAGGGAGAUACCUUUUGUUAAUGAGGCAUUGAGUCUCACUGCAUGACUGAUAAAAUUACAUCAUGCCAUUGUGAGAAGCUCUGCCCAGAAGGAGAAGCCAGGCAUUCCUUCCUGGAUAUAAUCAGAGGUUUGGAAGACCACAGGGAGCUUUUUCCACUGGAUUCCCAGAGGAAGACCAGGCCCAUCUAUAUCACCACUGGAUUUUCAGAGGAAGACUACACCGUUCUACAGGAUCAACUGCUUCAACAGAACAACAUCAGUCAUUCCAGGAUGACUGCAGCCACCAUUUCAACUGAACUGUUACCAACACCCUGACCUACAGGGUGUCAGAUUGUAUUCUGACUCUGUCUGUGUUGUUUUGUAUUACUACAUUUGUUUCAGUUUUUGUUUGGUUCUUUUUUGUUGUUGUUGUUUUGGGGUUUUUUAAAAUAUUUUCUUCCCUAAUAAAAACUGUUAUUCCUGCUCCCAUAUAUUUUCCUGAGAGCCCCCUUAAUUUCAAAAUUAUAACAGUUUGGAGGGAGGGGAUUUACAUUUUCCAUUUCAGUGGAGGCUCCUGCCUUCCUUAGCAAACACCUUUUCAACCAAGACUUUUCAAACCAAGGCAAGUAUAUCUGCAGAUUCUUAAUUUAAGUUUUUAGUUUGAAGUGCAUCUCCAGAUACAUAAAUUAGAAAUCCUACCGCAAAAAUACAUCUGUUUUUAGAAUAUUCACUUAAAAAAGAAAAAAAACUCCCAACCCCCAAAACUUCACUACUGAUGUAACUUGGAUUGGGUUUUUUUUUCAUCGAAGGCAUGAGGAAUACAAUAAUAUGACCAAAUCAAUGAACCGUACCAGGUGUCUUCAUUUCAAAUAAAUCUCUAGUGGUCAGUUAGAUAGUUUUCCUGAUCAGUCCAUGGAAUCAUGAUGAUUCUUGCUAGUAUUGCAAACUUAAUAAAAAUGUUCAAAUUAAAUUACCACCUCGAUUUUAUUGGUCACACAAAAUGGUGCUUUCAUUUUUUGUUGUUGAUCGAAGAUACUUUCAUAUGCCAGAAUUUCUACCACAUCUUUCUAUAAACAGACUUAAAAUACAGAGACUCUGCUUUCCCCUCCCUCAUUCUUUUCAAUGUCAAAACUUAAAGAAAAACUAAACUCAAUUACUGAAUUUGAAAUAGACAAAGUUCUGAGUUUUAAUUAAAGAAAGAAGAAGUCCUAGAUCAAGAUAAAAUGGCAAUUUCUGUUUUAAAAGUCCUGGAAAGACAAGUCUAAUAGUACUUUUAACUUUGCUAAGAAUACCAGACAGGAAAACAUUUUCAUAAUUUUAAAUAGGAAGGGAGCGUAGAAUAGAAAUGAGAGCUAUCUUUAUUUUUUUUUCAUAUGGUUCAUCAGUUUGAUGAAUAAUUUAAAAUCUAUGCUGACAUUAAGGAAGUACAUAGUCAAAGUCAUAAGAAAGCUACUUACUUCAGCUGUACAUUACUAAAUUUUAUUCCUGAGCUCCAAAAAUAAGAGAAAUGCAAAGACUAGUGAGAAAGGGUGCUUCAAGAUAUAGAAUGCCUUUGGUGCAGGGUGCUUUGGUGCAUGCUAUUGCUAUGAAAAAAUUCAGAGCUUCAUUUAUGAAAGUUGGAAGAGAAAUAGUAAUUGUGAAUUGCUUGAGAUCACAGAGCUGUGUGAGACAGUUCUGGCAAUUAAGCAAAAUUUUCCUAAAUAAAGGAAUGGAUUACACUUGAUAAAUGGACAAUAGAAAUAUACCCUUCAAAUAAUGCAAUUGAGGAUUUCUCAUACUGAUUUUUAAAAUAAUGUCUAUUUUAAAACUUUUUCUUUACUGUCACAAUCAUGAAGUAAGUCAAACCUGAAAAAAGUUUCUUUAAAUUCCAAGACAUUAUUUCUUCUGUUGAAAAAUUAAGGUAUGGUUUUGUAACAAAGAAUUUCUUCAGUUUGCCCCUAAAUAACUGUGUCUUAAAGUCAUUCUUCUACUAGCUAAGAAAUAUUUGCUGUUGCAGUGCUGUGGUUUUGAAGGUUUUAUUUGCUUGUUUGUAUUUUAAGUAUUUUUAAAAAUCAGCCCUUCAAAACCAACCUUAGGGGUCCAUGUACAGCUUGUAAAUGAGAGUGACAAUAUGUAUGUCUCUAUCUUUGGUAGAAAAAACCUGGAUUAUAAUAUGAAUAGGUGUUGCUUCCUUCAAUACACACUGAGUAUUUAAUAUCUUUAAGGGAUCUGGGACUUGGAAGUAAUUGUAUUAUCCAAAAUGGAAGAUUGGGAAAGUUGUUUGCAAAUGAUCAUUUUAAUAGUGUUUUGCCCUUUGUAUUUACGAAGCAUAUCUCUACCAAAAAGGAAACAGCAGAUUGUGUAGUUUCUUCAUUACAAGAAUGUAACCUUGGGAAUCAGCCAGCAGAGGAGCAAAGGAUACUUAAGGAAGGGUUAAAAGUAAUCAGAAAAGGUACUAAAUCCAUUGUUUGGCUUCUCCUCUGUCACUUAAAACAUUGGUUUAAUUUUUUUGUCUCUGACCCAGUAGUAGAAUUUGCACAUGCAUUUUUCUUGUGUGGGAACCUAGUAAUUCUACUGUUGGAUCUAAGUUCUGGUAGAUUUUUCUUGUAAGAUUUAAUCUUUUUCAUUCUGAAAUCAGAUUUUAACUUCAUUUUGGGUAAAGAAGGAAAUUCCAAGAGGUUUUUCUUCCAAGAAAAUUCAAUUAGUCAAAGUCAGCACAUGGAAGGAAAACAAGACAGCUAGUGAAUACUGCAGCCUAUGGUUAAAGUGUUGAGGUAAUAUGGUAUAAAAUAAUGAGCAAACUGAAACUUAAAAGACUUCAGCUUUCAGCUGGAGUGUGUAUUUGUGUAAGAAACAGAGAUGAUUACUUUCAUGUCAUUGAGGAUCAUGUUAAAUAAUUGAAUUGAAAAGAAUUGUCAACAUUCUGUGACAUGUUGAGAAAAGCAGUGCUGUAAUUUAAAAUCUUAGGGAAUUGCCUGUUUUAUGCUUAUGUGUAAGUGCUAAGUAAGUAUGUGGUCAUGACUUCUUGAAGUUUCAUUUCCAAGUUAAGUUGCCUCCAUCCAGGUGGUUCCAAUAGCUGUAUCAUGGUUUCUUUGUACUAUAAAUUAUAUUGAGUUCUAAGGUUUGUACUAUGCUGUUGGUCAUUCUUAAGAAGAAAAUUGAAUUAUUAUGGUGGCCAACAUUACCUAGCAAUAAGAAAAUAAAAAUUAAAUAUGCUGCACAGCUGUUCCACUUUGGGAAGCUGUUGGUAAAUUAAGAGUAGUAGCUCUUCACUUAGAAAUUCUGGAUUAUUGUGUAGCUGUUUUGCAAAAGUAUGUAUUCAGUACCUUCUAGUACUUGUGUGUGCCUGAAAACUGAGAGGUAGUUCGUGUGAAUUCCUUGCAUAAGUAAACAUUAGUGAUUUUUGAAAUGAAAUAUUCUUUAGUACAGUAAAUUUUAUUUUAUUAAGAAAUGUCUUUUACUUCUUGAAGUAACCUGUUCUUCAUUGGAAAUUCUACUUGGGAACUAAUUUAAUGUAAGUAGUUUCUCUGUGUUUUUAAACUGUUUUUUUCCAAGUAUGUAACUACAGCCUUUCACAGUCAGUUUACAAUUGGUAGUAGCUGUUUUAGUAGUAUUAGUAAUUUUAAUUUGUCUGAAAUAGUAGUUUUUCAUAACACAUACUAAAAUUCAGGGGGAAAUCCCCCACAUUAUUAACAAUUUUGUUAUGAAACAAGCUCUGGAAAACUGUAAGUGGAACAAUCAGCAUUUGUAAAAACUAGAAUUGUGGAUAUUCUCCAAUGACAGUGUAACUUUUAUUCAUUAUUAAACUGAUCUAGUUCUGUAAUGUUGGAACUGUUUAUACUAGUAAAGUAUCUGCCCUAUUUUAGUUUAUAAUUCAUAAUAAUAAUAAUGGGAAUGGUUUUUGUAAUAAUUUUUACAUCUGUGUUUUAACAUUGAUGAGUUACAGUGCAAGAUACACUGGCACUUGAACUUUAAUUCAGACUAUAUUAAGAAAACCCAUUAUCUAAUAUGUUUUUGUGUUUAUAUUCUGGAACUUGGUGAAAUUUGGUACAAUUUGAUAGUGUGCAAUAGAAGGAGCAUCAAUGAAAAUUCCAGCUAGACCCAACAGAAUUAUUCAAUUGAAUCUUCAGUAUAGUUUUUAAGUUUAGCUAGAUUUACAUAUCUUUGUAUUUCUUUGAUCAGAACUGAUAGUCCUGGAGUAGUCAUAGUUGAGCUGUAAUAACUCACAUGAUGAUAUUCUGCACGAGGUAUUUAUUAAACUGGUAUGUGGGUCCACUAGUUCCAAACCACUGCUGUUGACUUGUCUUUAGAUUUUACUGUGUUUAUUGUUUUGGGGUUGGUUUUUUUCCUAGAUUGUUAAGGGUAACUUAAGAUUAACUCAAAAACUGGAAGAUCUUACUGCUUUCUAGAAGGAUGAAGUCUACAGAUAACUGAGAAAUAUUAAAGCAAAAUGACUAAACUAAAAAUUGAGACCUUUAUCUUUCAUCUCUCAUUGCUGAUCUUUUUGAUAUCUAAUACAACAACAUGGAUACUAGAAAAGGACAAAGAAAUGUCUAGUCGGAUCACUAACUGGAAAAUUAUUUGAUUUUUAAAAAAUGCAGAUCUCUUGUCACUGAGAACAUAAUGGUGAGUCAAUUUUGGCAUAAGUAUUUUACUAACUCUAUCCUUCAGAGUGUUGUCAUGCUCUUUGUUGAUUGAAUGAACAGCUCUGGCAAAUUACUGCUUAAGCAGGGUGAAUUGAUUAUAGUGAAGAAUGAUAAAAUGCAUUAGGACCGUACAAAAAUUAAACAUUAAUUAUCUGUAGAGAAUCUCAGUAUGCUUAAUGUUCUUUACAAGGUCUGAAGUAAGGGAGGGAGUUUCAUUAUAAUAUUUUGAAACAUGAGUUGUUACAUAAACCUGUGUGGAAAAAAGGAUUUUGUUAGAAGCAGAUAUCAAUCAUUCUAAUAGAAUGUAAGAUAUGUCACUGGUUUUUGCGUCAUAAAUUUUAAAUCAGUGAUAGUGAAAGGUGUUACUUAUGGAGAAACAUAUAGUUACCAAUAGUAGUAACCCGGUAAGAAAAUCUUAUAAAAAAGGUAUUCUUGAAAACUAGAGGAUUAGGCAGUCACCAAUAUUAUGAAGUUUAACAAGGACAGAUGCUGGGCCAGGGCAACCAUGGCUGUGUGUAUACACUGGGGAAUGAUGUGCUGGACAGUAGUGCCUUGGAAAGGGACAUGGGGUUCUUUGUUGAAGGCAAUUUGAAUAUGAGUCAGCAGUGUCUUGGCAGCCCAAACAGCCAACCAUAGCCUGCCCCAGCAUUGCCAGCUGCACAAGGGAGGGGAUUGUCCCACUCUGCUCUGCAGUAGGGCAGCCUCACCUUGAGCACUGGGGGUAGUUUUGGGCACCGCAGUAUAAGAAAGACAUGGAACUAUUUGAGAGCAUCCAAAGGAGGGUCAUGAGGAUGAUGAAGGGUCUGGAGAGGAAGCCCUACAGCUAAGGUCACUUGAUCUGACUGAGGAGACACCUCAUCAGAGUUUACAACUUCCUUGUGAGGCAAAGAGGAGGAACAGACACUGAUCUCUUCUCCGUGGUGAGAGGACUCGAGUAAUGGCAUGAAGUUGGGUCACGGAAGGUUCUGGCUGGAUAUCAGGAAAAUGUUUUUAACCCACAGGAUGGUUGGGCAGUGGAGCAAGAUCCCCAGGGGAAUCAUCACAACACAGAGCCUGAAAUAGUUCAAGAAGUGUUUGGACAAUGCUCUCAGGCCCAUAGUGUGAUUCUUGGGAUGUCCUGCGCAGGCCCCGGAGUUGGACUCAAUGAUCAAUGAUAGGUCCCUUCCAAGUAAGCAUAUUAUGUGAUUCUAUGAUACUAUUCGCUAAAAUCUCUAAAAUAAGGAGUCAAAACUUCAACUCAUUCUUUUACUGAAGUAUAAAGACCCACAAAAUUGCUGCUACUCUUACCAAAACUGAAUUUGUUAGUCAAAAAUUUUAUUUUCAUUUUAAUAGAAUAAAAGAUGGGGAAAAUUAUUUUCUGUAUAAUUAAUUUAUUCAUGCCAAGAAAAUGUGAGGAGGCUACAUACAAAUUUGACCUAAAGAGUAAAUACAUUUUCUACAUCAACCCCCCACAUUCGUCUUCCUCUUGUAUGAAAAUUCUGCAAGGUGAUCCAUGGACUGAAUAGGCACAAUGAUUAAAGAGAUACUUCUUGCUUUUUGUUUUAAGAAAAAAUUACAUGUUGAAAUAAGAACAGUUAAAUAAUGAACAAGAGAGAGAAAAAAGAGCAAGUAUUGUCAUGGCAGUGACUUGCUGUCUCCAAACAGUAUGUCAGUGCCCAGCUUGUGUCUGAGGAUUGGCUACUUUGGAAAGACUACACCCUCAGAUCUGAUGCUGAGCAUGUCAUUGUAUGGCAUAUGGCAUUUCCAUUUGUUCAGUUGGGGUCACCUGUCUUGGCCACUGCUUCUCCCAGGCUCUUGCUCACCCUUGGCCUGCUUGCUGCAAGGACAGAGUGACAAACAGAGAGGGCCUGGACUGUGCCAGCCCAGUUCAAUAACCAAAACAUUUUGGUCACAGAUGCAGAGUGUAGCAUCAUACAGGCUGCUAUGAGGAAACAUAAUUAUCACAAUCAGGGGCAAUACAAGUAUACAGAUGCUAAUGCAUAACUCUGUUACUAUGGUGCAAAUUAUUAUUAGGCAGUCUUUAUUUGCUUAGCUGCUACUUCCUCCUUCUGUACUUAGAGAGCUUUAUUAGAUCUAUAAUGGGCUUUCAAGCACAGUUCUGUUAUGCAAAGUAAGGUUUGAACCCCUUUAGGGUUCACUGACAGAGCUUCCUUAAAAAGUAUCCCCAGGUGCAUUAUGUUUGCACCCAGACUUGGACAGUGCAGAGGUGGAUGGUGAAGGGGACAAGGGUGUUGGGCUUUGGAGAGAUAUUAUGGACAAGGAAACUGUGUCAUUAACAGACUGCUGAGAAAAUUAAUUCGUCUACGAGGAACUUGAGAAGGGCUUAUAAGAAUGCUGCAACUUGUUGUAAACUCUCAGAUGAUGAACUGUUCACAAGUUGGCCCAUUUAAGUAAAGGUGUGAGAACAGAUUUGAGAACUUGACUAUAUUUUCUUCAGAGACAGAAUGACAAGGAUAGGUUUUCCUGCUGUGUCUACAAAAGAGUUCAAUACAAGUAAAUUAAUUUUACAGGAAAUGGAAAACUUUGAGAAGAGUAUUAAUUUACACUUGCUGCUUAGCAGUGUGAAAAAGUUGUUGAUUGCAGUAUACAAAAGAAGAAAGUUGAAAACUAAAAUCAAGUUAGAGUUUGAUCAUAAACUUGCAACAAAAGAAGCCUAUUCUGACAGCUAGAACAAUUGCUGUGUCAUUGAUGACAAGCUGCUGUUCUCAGAGGUGCCCAGCUGAAAGUCCUAUAUCAACUGAUCUGCUCUGUCACUUUAAUAUGGCAUGACUUCAACCACUUAUAUUUUUAGCACCUAAGCUGCCCAGCCCUACAGUUCUUCUUUGCCCUUUUGAAUGGUCACACUCCUUGACAACUGGUAUUUUUAAGUGUGUAAAACUAUGCAGAAUUUGCACUCUGAGAUGAUGCCAAAUGAGUCACACAAGUAGAUUAACUAGGGCAUGCAAAGCAGAGAGGGAGAAAUGAGAGCAUAAGAAGAGAGUACACAAGAAGAGAGUACAAUCUACUUUUUUUCUGCAACAGGGCUAACACCGUAGAAAUCAAAAUUAACACAAAUUAUCCUAGGAGUAACUCUUGCAAAAGACAAAGACUUCUUUUGGUGUUCAAAGGCCUGGAAUAUUUAGCUUUCGAAUAUCCACUCAGUCACAAAUGUAACUGCAGGAGUGAGCCACCAUUCUUAACAAUUUAGCUGUAUAACCUUUUGUGGGGGUCUAUCUUUGUCACACACAUCACAUUUUGUAAGAGAAGAGGCACUGUUGAAUGGCUUCAGUGAAAAAAAUUAAAUGUACUCUGAAUAGAAUUAAGAUCCAAAGAAGCAAGUAUUUCUAGAAAGCCUGAAAUAUUGCCAGCAAUGUGAUCCCUUCUAAGAGGUUUACUUAAGGUACCAAAUUCUCCCUGCAAAUACUGGCAGAUUAGUCAGAGGAGAAAAAUGACCUUUUUAAAUGGUCCUUUGGGAAGACAGGGCUUGCAGGGAAUUUUGUAGUUGCUGGUCUAUUGCCUACGUUCCAGGAAAGAGUAUUAAAUACUGAAAUGACCUAUAGAAGAUGAGGAAAUAUGCUAAGCUUUCUAAUAAAGAUGGGCUGAAAAAAAUACCAUUAAUAUUCUCAGAGAAUAUAACAAUAUAGCAUACUUUUUGAAAGCUACAUUUCACUGCUUGCUCUGAAAACAGGCUGAAAAAUGGUGUGAAGCCAUCAACUUUUUAAAUGAUUGAUUUUUAAGGUGAUUUCAUAUGUAAUAAAAAUGUUAAAUUUUUCUUACCACUUUCAUUCAAUUAAAUAGUGCUGCAAUGAUGCAAUCUGAUAGAUUUAUGAAAAAGAAUUAUAUUCUGCAAGAUAUGAUUUUGGUUAUAAAAUUAAUGAGGGCUAAAAAAAUCUUCACCUUUAAAUGAAACAAUCAUUUAUGGGUGUACUACUGAAAUGCAUUUAUGCAAAUGCAAAAGACAGAUAUUUUGACCAGAAUAUUUCUUGGAAUAUUUAUAUCUCUCCAGCAGACACUUAAAUAGCAGUUUUUAGAUAGUGGAUUCUCUGCAAAGCCCUGCUAAGAACUAACAAAAAGUUCUCCCUAUUUUUAACCCUGUGUCCAGCUCAAAUUAAAACACAGCCCAGACCUACUUCAGCUGAAACCAGCAUAAGAAAUUGUCGUGCUUUUCAAAGAUGCAAGAAUGUUUGGAGUCAUAGAAACUCAGGAGACAGUAAAAAACUGUCUCACAGUAGAUCUUGCGGGUGUAAACAUAUCUGCCAUCCAUUAGUGCCCCUAAGGCUGAAACAACCCACCACAACAAAAAAAUUGUAUAGCACCACCUCUCC